rnacentral:rRNA from 1 species
CAGUAGCCGCGGGAAUACGAAGGGGGCUAGCGCUGUUCGGAAUUACUGGGCGUAAAGGGCGCGUAGGCGGCCAUUCAAGUUAGAUGUGAAAGCCCUGGGCUCAACCUAGGAAUUGCAUUUGAUACUGUUUGGCUUGAGCUCGGGAGAGGUGAGUGGAAUUCCCAGUGUAGAGGUGAAAUUCGUAGAUAUUGGGAAGAACACCGGUGGCGAAGGCGGCAACCUGGUCCUUGACUGACGCUGAGGCGCGAAAGCGUGGGGAGCAAACAGGAUUAGAUACCCCCGUAGUCCCUGUCUCUUAUAC